AGCGUUAUCCGGAAUCAUUGGGCGUAAAGCGCCUGUAGGUUGUUUAAUAAGUCUGUUGUUAAAGACUGGGGCUUAACCCCAGGAAAGCAAUGGAAACUACUAGACUAGAGUAUGGUAGGGGUAAAGGGAAUUUCUAGUGUAGCGGUGAAAUGCGUAGAUAUUAGAAAGAACACCGGUGGCGAAAGCGCUUUACUGGACCAUUACUGACACUCAGAGGCGAAAGCUAGGGUAGCCAAAGGGAUUAGAUACCCCUGUAGUCCUAGCCGUAAACGAUGGAUACUAGAUGUUGCGCUUAUUGUGCAGUGUCGUAGCUAACGCGUUAAGUAUCCCGCCUGGGGAGUACGAUCGCAAGGUUGAAACUCAAAGGAAUUGACGGGGGCCCGCACAAGCGGUGGAGCAUGUGGUUUAAUUCGAUGCAACGCGAAGAACCUUACCAGGGCUUGACAUACUGCAAAUUUUCUUGAAAGAGAAAAGUGCCUUCGGGAAUGCAGAUACAGGUGGUGCAUGGCUGUCGUCAGCUCGUGUCGUGAGAUGUUGGGUUAAGUCCCGCAACGAGCGCAACCCUCGUUUUUAGUUGCCAUUUUAUGGGUUCUCUAGAAAGACUGCCGGUGACAAACCGGAGGAAGGUGGGGAUGACGUCAAGUCAGCAUGCCCCUUAUGCCCUGGGCUACACACGUGCUACAAUGGCUAAGACAAAGAGUCGCGAAUCGCGAGAAUCAGCUAAUCUCAUA
rnacentral:rRNA from 1 species